UACACUUUAAUCAGCAUAACAAAAUUUGAUAACGUCACUUUUGUUUUUGUUUGUUGUUUUUUGUGUUGCUCAAUUGGACAAAUAAAAUUUUGGGGACCCGACGAAUUGCUAUAUAAAGUAGAACAGAUUCCGAGCGGACUCAUAAUUACAUCGUUCUUGGCGACAAUGGAUUUUAAGUGCUGCCUGAUUUUCCUAUCGCUUCUACUCUCGGGCGUUUUGGCGAUCCCAGAGAGAAGUAAACCCGAGGAAAGGUCCUGCAGCCCAUGGUGCGCCGGUCAGCCUCCACCGCCGCCGGGAGCUGUAAACUAAUUAGACGUACUAAUCAUGGAUUGAACGUCAUACAAAAAUCACUUAAAAAAUUUAUUACGAAAGGAAAUUCGUUCAUAUUGUGUUUUUAAUCGAAAAUUGAUUAUAUUCAAAAAAUACCAUAGUUUGCCUUUUUUGAGCUAAAUUCAAAACUAAAUGUUGGCAUAUGACUUAAUAAAGUAUAUUACCUUAUUUCUUGUCAACUUCGUGUAAAACUGUUAAAUUUUUAUAUUGUCAUUUUAAAUAUUAACCUUUUUUCCUUAAAAAUAUUAAAAACAUCAUAUCAAUCAACUUUCUUAGAAACCGCCUACUAAAAUUUUCUUAAAAAACGUUAUUUCAAAUAAUAUAUAAUUGAUGUAAUUUAACGAAAUUCUUUGAAUUGAAUUGAUAGUUUCCCGUUUGUUUUAUUAAAGCCGUCUAAAAUCCAACUCUUUUCAUUAGUUACCCUUUAUGCAAAACAAAAAAAUAUUUAAAUGCAAUCAGUUGAGUCGCCCAGGAAAGUCAUUAUGGGUAAUAUCGCUAUUUUGGAUAGGGCUAACAGUUGUAAAUAUGUUUUUAUGGAGUUGGUCCCCAUUUUCAGUCGAUCCACCGUUCGGGAAUCCAUCGCUUGAGAUGCACUGCUGUAUGCCAUUGACAAAUGAGCAGCGUUGAUAAGUGCAGGUUCUUAUUCCGUUCCUAAUAAAGCAAUGAGUCCGGGAUGAAUGACCGCCAAACGGGGGAA